rnacentral:rRNA from 1 species
AUCCUCUGUUGGAACUGUCGUGAGAUGGGUCCCGUGACUGUUCAGGAACUGCACGAUCUUGCACAAGAGAGUGGACUGAUGAUUAUUUUUGUGGUGGAAAUGCAAAUUGCAAAUUUUCACAUGGAAGGUUUGGCUGGAACUUUGGGUUUUGAUGGAGGUUAUGGUGUCAGUAGUGGUGGUCAAAGCGAGGGCCUUUGCGUCUAUCGGAAGAGGCCUUUUGAUUUGCAGCUGAGAAAUUAUUCGAAGCACCACAUUGAUAUAAUCGGCUAAGAGUUAGGGAAAGAGCCAUGGAGGCUAACAUGUUGA